CACGUAGCGUUUGUGAGAUACUACAGGACGGCAGUGUGUGAAGCGCUCAGCAGAGAUUCAGAGAUGAACUGAGCUUUACUGAUGUCCAGCGGCUUUACUGGAGGAUGGAGGAGCUGGACGAGAGAGAGAGACCUGCGGUGUGUGUGAAUCACGAGUAAAGCUGUGACAAACAGACUAAGAUGCAUCUGACCUGCUGAUGAGGUCAUCAGAAGACUCGAUGAUGUCACUUCCCAUGGAGCAGAACAGGAAGACGCCCUCGUUAAUGAAGACAUCGUUCCACUCAAACGCUGAAGGAGAAAAAAAAACAGCAUUAAUUUCUGCGUUUGCCACUGUGUUUUUAUUUAUACUGACUUCCACUGGAGAAACAAAACAGAUUAGCAGAUAACAGCUGAAUAAGUUCACAUUCACACACUCACACACACAAUCAAAUCUCUGCACCAAUACUGUAAUGACCCUCAGAAUCUCUUCAUUCGCCUGAUUUAAUAAUUAAAAGCAAAGUUUGCAAUUAAACAACAGCUUUGUAGAAUUUAAACCUGUAUGUUCUUGAGUAUCACUGAACGUGUGGUGAUUAUUAAUAAAGCACACAAUAUCUUACAUGUAUGUGGUGCGAGUAUGACUCAUGUUGUGCGAUGAUAAAAAUCUUCAUGUUUUAAAUGCAAAAUACAGUACGAGUUGGUUGUG